rnacentral:lncRNA from 1 species
UUUCUAUAUUUAUAUUGUUUUCUGUGAACAAAAAUGACUUGAUAAGUCAGCAGAAGUAAGCAGAUAAUGAAAUUCUCUGUUAUAGCCCAAAUAAACACGAUUUGCAUGUUUGCAAAUGAACUGUAUGUCAGUGUCCUGCGGCUCAUAAUCAAACAGCUUCAUAUGUGGAUGCAUCAAACUCUCUCAACUCUUGGACUGUGGACUUUAGCUCAAGAAUGCCGCUGUCUCUGGGAAUUAUGUCUCGACAAAAGCAGAAUUUGCUGUGGCUGAUGAUCAUCUGUUGUGCUCUGUGCCAGAUAAGUAUGUUUCUUUCAAAAAUGCAUUUAUUAACUUAAACAGAAAUAUAUGCCAAUUAAUAUGUUGUUUGGAGAACUUUAGAAAACAAACUAAAAUGUAAAAAAACAAAACAAAAAAAACCAACAAUGAAUGUGUAUGUAAAUGUAAAUAUAAUAUACAGGGUUUCCCAUACAUUGAUAUAUUUCUGGCGGCCUGCCACCAUAUGCACUUCGACUGCCACAAAUAACCACUGCCCCCUGCCAUCAGCUCCCGCAUCUCACACACACGAGCGUGACUUUAGCACUAUAUUUUGCAACUUUCAGACCCUUUAAGCAACUUUUUUUUUGCAACUUUUUUUCCAUAAAAGGUACAUACUAACAAACCUAGCGACUUUUUUGGAUAAACCUUAGCUUUGGUUCUGUUCAGUUGAAAGAUUUCGCCAUUGCUGAAUUCCCCAGCGCAGUGUCGUCUCUCUCAGCGUCUGUUCUGUGCAGUGAGCUUGAGAGAAGCAGAGCGUUCAGCUGGCCGUACCGCAGCAGACUCAUCAGUAAAUGAGUAUAAAACAGUGUUUCCAAGCACCUGUUGCUUACUGACUGUCUGGGAUUAUAAACAUGAACAUAGUUCGUCUGUUAAUAUGCACAGUUUGUUACUCAGACGCAGGCAGUGCGCUGCAUGAGGCAAAAAAAAAGUAAUGUAGCCAAACCUACUGCAUAUAGUCACUAUUUAGUGUAACAGUUAGAGGUAUGUGGAUUUUAUCAGACGAUGUCGCUCUUAUAAAUCAGGAUUUAAGGAGUAAAGUGAGAGUGACUCCUGGAUAUUAAUAAAAUUAAAAUGUAUUUAUAUUUGUUUUAUGUAUGACAACAGAAAAAAUGUGAAUGGCUUUUUUGUGCAAUUAGUUGUAUACAGUAUGUGCAAGUUCAGAGAGUAAAACAGAUCCAAGGUGCUGAAUGCAAACCCGAUGUCAUGAUGUCAUAAAUAUGCUAAUUAAUGUGAUGUCAUCUGCCGCCACAAGUCUCACAAAAUCCUGCGGGAAACACUGAUUGAUAUAGAUAUAGGGUGUUGUACCAUGUCAUACCUCAUUAUUUAAUAGUCUAAUAAUGUUGUGUUUGUGCAGCCUGCUCAGAAAAACUGAUAAUCCAAGUCAAUUCAACAGAUCAGUGUUUCUGGAACACAAGUAGCUCAACAGUUCCAGGUAGAUGUGAAAUAUACUGCUAACAUGACUGUGUGAUACUGUAUAUUUAUUAUCUGAAAGCACUUGUGACGACUGACAAACUCAUUGAGUUCAUUUCUGUUUUUUUCUCAGAUAUAAAACAGACAUGUCUAUCAUAUAAUAAUGACACUAAUUUUAACUUGAAUGUCACACUAAACAUCUCUUCUCUUGGUAAAACACACUUAUUUUAUUUUAUUUAUAAACCAUUCUUGAGUUCAAAGCUCUUUAAAAAGUGUUUAUGCACAAAUGUAAAUAUUCUCUGUGUUUUCAGGACAAUGCAGCUCAUACAGUUUCAACAUAACAAAACAGGGGCAGAAUUAUGAAUUAAGAAUGAACGAGAUGGUUGAAGGCAUAAAACUGUGGCUAUUGAAAAAUGAUAAUUGUUUGCCAUCACUUCUGAAUUCAGCAGGUGUGUAGAGUGUUAAUGGUGAAGGUUGUGAGUUCUGUUGUUCUUUUUAGUGCACAGUAACCCCUACAGACCCACACAACACCACAUGAGAACA